UUGAAAGGGAAACGAUUGAAGUCAGUCGUACCUUCGGGUAAUCAGCCUUUCGGGUGCGAUUCUGUGGAGCGUGGGGAGUUAAACGCCUUCAUGCCUGCAUAUUCGUGCGCUUUGGGUGUACUUGUCCGUAUGGUAGGUUAACAUCAAUUUUGGUCGUUAUAAAAUGACUAGGGGAAUGUAGCUUUGAUCCCGUAUUGAAGUGUUAUAGCCUCUGGUAAAUGCAGUGACUAGGAUUGAGGAUUGCAACGGAUACCUUUCGGGGCUACUCGUCUGAUCUCUGGAAGUUACUUUGGUGCUAAAAGCUUGCUUAUGGUUAUCGAAGUUGACGGUCAAUAGGUUAGAACGAGUUAAAUUCGUUAAGGAUGUUGACGUA
rnacentral:rRNA from 1 species